rnacentral:lncRNA from 1 species
CGAAACAGCAUUAGCAUGCCUUGGUAGAAUGUUAACCGAAGAGAUCAACACCGACAUCAUCAUCAACGUUUCCGACGGAAGUAUCGGAGCUCACCGAGCCGUCUUAGCUUCGAGAUCACCCGUGUUCCACAGCAUGUUCUCACAUAACCUUCAAGAGAAAGAACUUUCAACCAUAAACAUAUCCGACAUGUCGAUCGAAGUUUGCCAAGCUUUCUUACGAUAUAUUUACGGGAACAUCAAACACGAAGAAUUCCUAACUCACCGGUUAGCACUUCUUCGAGCGGCCGAUAAAUACGAUAUCUUGGACUUGAAAGAAGCAUGCCACGAGAGCUUAACCGAAGAUAUCGAUGCGAAAAACGUGCUCGAGAGGCUCCAAAAUGC